GCGAAGGGAGCUUUCCGGUUACAGUCCGUGGAAAACUGGUGCAGUUCGAUUGGCGCUUCGGUUUGGUCACGGUUGGCGCGAUCGGAACUCCAAUUCGGUCGUAAUUCAAUAUUUUAUUUAACUUGGCUGUGCGGACAUUUAUUUUUAUUGGAUUGUAAAUUUGCGAGUGAGAGUAAAUUUUGUGACAGUUUUCCCGGAGAGAGUGAGCGAAGGGGGUUGAACCGUAAAUUAAAGUCUCACUUCCGUCGGGCGUCGGAGAUUUUGGCGAUUCAGAGGGACCAAUCAAGGCGAAACAAUAGCUGGCGUGAGAAUGAUGGAUCAUGCGAUAAUUUCCAAGUAUACGGACAUGCGAGUGAAAAUUUCCGGCUGGGACGAACGGGUGCAGCAGUUUCCGAAGGAUUGUCCUUGCUGUUCGGUAGGGCGUGCCACCUAUCGCACCUUCGGCUACACAACUAAGCAUUUUAUCCCAAAAACAACCACACAAGCAAUGUACGAGGAUGUCUGGAACGACCUUUGCCCUCACCGAAGGAGGCCCCGGUUGGAAGAUUGCGAAAUGUAUCGCUCGACGUAUCAGACAGACUUCGGCCAUCGAAUCUCCAUGGUGUACUGAAUCGGUCCCGAAGGAUUUUCCCUUAGCCAUCCAUUUAGUGAUAAAAUUUAGAGCUCAGAUAAUGUUGAUUAAUGAGACAGUAGCUGCUGACCAGUUGUCUCCUUCCGGUCUCGAUUCCCGAAAUCGUUCAACCCAGGGCUACACCCAGAGAUCAUAAUCAGCUCCAAAGCCCUUCUGCUUCCUGAACCUGAUGCCAGAACGUGUGACUGUGCGGUCAGCCGAAAAAGUGAACUGUGUGGUGGCUAAAUCUACCGAUGAUGAUUAUUUACGAUGGCGAAGUGGAAGCAUCCGGUUGGCUGGACCGCAGGCUGCACCACGCAGUGGACAAUUUAUUACCGGAAUUAGUUGAACCCCGAUGCCGAGUCGUCGAGUCAAGUGGUCGUCUGGUGUAGCGUGUGCCAUGUUCCUAAAUUCCAAAUAAAGCCAAAUUGAGAAGAGUGAUUUCGCGCAA